rnacentral:rRNA from 1 species
GGAAGGAUCAUUACCGAAUUGUCAAACAUGGGUUGUUGCUGGCCCCCGAACGGGGCAUGUGCACGCUCUGUUUACACAUCCACUCACACCUGUGCACCCUCUGUAGUUCUGUGGACCGGGAGACGUCGUCUUCCUUCCGUAGCUCUACGUCUUUACACACACACCGUAGCGAUGUCUCAUGGAAUGUUUUUUCGCGUUUAACGCAAUACAAUACAACUUUCAGCAACGGAUCUCUUGGCUCUCGCAUCGAUGAAGAACGCAGCGAAAUGCGAUAAGUAAUGUGAAUUGCAGAAUUCAGUGAAUCAUCGAAUCUUUGAACGCACCUUGCGCCCCUUGGUUAUUCCUCGGAGCAUGCCUGUUUGAGUAUCAUGAACACCUCAACUCUCAUGGUCUUCCAUGAUGAGCUUGGACUUUGGGGGUUUGCUGGCCUUGUGGCCGGCUCCUCUCAAAUGAAUCAGCUUGCCAGUGUUUGGCGGCGUCACGGGUGUGAUAACUAUCUACGCUCGUGGUCGUCCACCAGGUAACCCUCAGCGAUGAAGGUUCAUCGGGGCUCAUAAACGUCUCUCCCCAGCGAGGACAACUUUUGAACGUUCGAUCUCAAAUCAGGUAGGACUACCCGCUGAACUUAAGCAUAUCAAUAAGCGGAGGAAAAGAAACUAACAAGGAUUCCCCUAGUAACUGCGAGU